rnacentral:rRNA from 1 species
GAUUUCUGGGUGGAUGUGUUUAGCCCGCCAUGGUUUCAUGUGUGAGUGCUGAUACUCAUCUCCCAUCCUUCUAGUCACGUCUGGGCUCUUCAUUGAGUGGCAGGCGCAGCUAGAUCUUUUACUUUGAAAAAAUUAGAGUGUUUCAAGCAGGCGUAUGCUUUGAAUACAUUAGCAUGGAAUAAUAAUUUAGGACUUCGGUUCUAUUUUGUUGGUUUCUAGAGCUGAAGUAAUGAUUGAUAGGGAUAGUUGGGGGUGCUAGUAUUCAGUGGCCAGAGGUGAAAUUCUCGGAUUCCCUGAAGACUAACUUAUGCGAAAGCAUU